rnacentral:rRNA from 1 species
GACGAACGCUGGCGGCGUGCUUAACGCAUGCCAGUCGAACGGAAAGGCCCUGCUUUUGUGGGGUGCUCGAGUGGCGAACGGGUGAGUAACACGUGAGUAACCUGCCCUUGACUUUGGGAUAACUUCAGGAAACUGGGGCUAAUACCGGAUAGGAGCUCCUGCUGCAUGGUGGGGGUUGGAAAGUUUCGGCGGUUGGGGAUGGACUCGCGGCUUAUCAGCUUGUUGGUGGGGUAGUGGCUUACCAAGGCUUUGACGGGUAGCCGGCCUGGGAGGGUGACCGGCCACAUUGGGACUGAGAGACGGCCCAGACUCCUACGGGAGGCAGCAGUGGGGAAUAUUGCACAAUGGGCGGAAGCCUGAUGCAGCAACGCCGCGUGCGGGAUGACGGCCUUCGGGUUGUAAACCGCUUUCGCCUGUGACGAAGCGUGAGUGACGGUAAUGGGUAAAGAAGCACCGGCUAACUACGUG